GUUAAACAUGUCUCUCAUAUUGUGUCCUCUUCUCGUUCCUCCCACAUUGAAGACAAACAAGCUGAAGUCCAGCAGCUCCAGGAUCAGAUUCAGAGGACGGAGACCAUCCUGCAGACGGAGAACAGAAAGUUGGAAAGAAGCAGAGUUGCUCCAGUUCAGCCUUCCUCCCCUCUGUUUAAGUGGCAGAUAAUUUCCAAGCAGAAGUUCCAAGAUGAGCAGCAGAGGAGGGAGGAAGCAGAGAAUAGAGUUCAGACCCUGGAGGAGGAGCUACAGAUUAAGAUCAGGAAG